UUCCGGUUGAUCCUGCCGGAGGCCAUUGCUAUCGGAGUCCGCUUUAGCCAUGCUAGUCGCACGGGUUUAGACCCGUGGCAGAUAGCUCAGUAACACGUGGCCAAACUGCCCUAUGGAUCGUGAUAACCUCGGGAAACUGAGGCUAAUCGCGAAUAAGGCUCCCUCUCUUGAAUGAGGGGAGCUGGAAACGCUCCGGCGCCAUAGGAUGUGGCUGCGGCCGAUUAGGUAGACGGUGGGGUAACGGCCCACCGUGCCGAUAAUCGGUACGGGUUGUGAGAGCAAGAGCCCGGAGACGGAUUCUGAGACAAGAAUCCGGGCCCUACGGGGCGCAGCAGGCGCGAAAACUUUACACUGCACGACAGUGCGAUAAGGGGACUCCGAGUGCGAGGGCAUAUAGUCCUCGCUUUUGUACACCGUAAGGUGGUGUACGAAUAAGGGCUGGGCAAGACCGGUGCCAGCCGCCGCGGUAAUACCGGCAGCCCGAGUGAUGGCCGCUAUUAUUGGGCCUAAAGCGUCCGUAGCUGGCCAGACAGGUCCGUCGGGAAAUCCAUCCGCUUAACGGAUGGGCGUCCGGCGGAAACCAGCUGGCUUGGGGCCGGAAGAUCUGAGGGGUACGUCCGGGGUAGGAGUGAAAUCCUGUAAUCCUGGACGGACCGCCGGUGGCGAAAGCGCCUCAGAAGGACGGACCCGACGGUGAGGGACGAAAGCUAGGGUCACGAACCGGAUUAGAUACCCGGGUAGUCCUAGCUGUAAACGAUGCUCGCUAGGUGUGGCGCUGGCUACGAGCCAGCGCUGUGCCGUAGGGAAGCCGAGAAGCGAGCCGCCUGGGAAGUACGUCCGCAAGGAUGAAACUUAAAGGAAUUGGCGGGGGAGCACUACAACCGGAGGAGCCUGCGGUUUAAUUGGAUUCAACGCCGGA
rnacentral:rRNA from 1 species